rnacentral:rRNA from 1 species
GAUGAACGCUAGCGGCAGGCUUAACACAUGCAAGUCGAGGGGCAGCACGGGUAGCAAUACCUGGUGGCGACCGGCGCAAGGGUGCGUAACGCGUGAGCAACAUGCCCUAUACAGGGGGAUAAUCCAGGGAAACUUGGUCUAAUAUCCCAUAGUAUUUAGAGGAGGCAUCUUCUGUAAAUUAAAGCUUCGGUGGUAUAGGAUUGGCUCGCGUGACAUUAGCUAGAUGGUGAGGUAACGGCUCACCAUGGCAAUGAUGUCUAGGGGUUCUGAGAGGAAGGCCCCCCACACUGGGACUGAGACACGGCCCAGACUCCUACGGGAGGCAGCAGUGAGGAAUAUUGGACAAUGGAUGGAAAUCUGAUCCAGCCAUGCCGCGUGCAGGAAGACAGCCCUAUGGGUUGUAAACUGCUUUUAUAUGGGAGCAAUAAGGUCUACGUGUAGACUGAUGAGAGUACCAUAUGAAUAAGC